GACGAACGCUGGCGGCGUGCUUAACACAUGCAAGUCGAACGGAAAGGCCCUGCUUUUGUGGGGUGCUCGAGUGGCGAACGGGUGAGUAACACGUGAGUAACCUGCCCUUGACUUUGGGAUAACUUCAGGAAACUGGGGCUAAUACCGGAUAGGAGCUCCUGCUGCAUGGUGGGGGUUGGAAAGUUUCGGCGGUUGGGGAUGGACUCGCGGCUUAUCAGCUUGUUGGUGGGGUAGUGGCUUACCAAGGCUUUGACGGGUAGCCGGCCUGAGAGGGUGACCGGCCACAUUGGGACUGAGAUACGGCCCAGACUCCUACGGGAGGCAGCAGUGGGGAAUAUUGCACAAUGGGCGGAAGCCUGAUGCAGCAACGCCGCGUGCGGGAUGACGGCCUUCGGGUUGUAAACCGCUUUCGCCUGUGACGAAGCGUGAGUGACGGUAAUGGGUAAACAAGCACCGGCUAACUACGUG
rnacentral:rRNA from 1 species